CACCAGACUUCACGGUGUAUGCUGCUGUUCAGAAGCCUCCUUGCAACAAAAGGCAGAAAAUCCACCCGGCUUUGCUGUCUACAGUCUAUGCAGAGGUCCAAGAUGCUCCUGCCAGACCCAGGUGCCCUCAGAUGCCGCGCUCCUCUUCACCUAGCCAUGGGCACUUGUAUUCCUAGCUCCAGCAGCGCCUCACUGCACAGCACCGCCUUCCUUUCCUUAAAGGCCUUUCCCCUGGGAGCAAGCUCCAUGGUGAUGGACAGACCUCUGCCUGCACUGUCAGGCUUUGAUCUGAGCUUCUUGGAUGUACAAGACUUGGGGUUCUUCCUCAGUGUGAUGAGACUGCAAAUAGCACAAUAAGAGCCUCUUCGUUUCUCUCCUGCAGUCCCACGCUGAACUUUGGUGACUCAUUUGAAAACUAGCACACAGAGGUGUGGAGAACAGAUAACUGAACUUUCCUUUCACUGGAAAAGACUGAGUUUGAGAUAAGGCAUGAUGUGGAAAGAUGGUUGGCUUGGGGGUAUUUGUUAAUCUUAACUGGUUAAAACUCCUUUGCAGUUUGUGUACAGCAAUGUGUAUAGAUUUAAUUGCACAAGCAAUGGAUGCUGUGGGUUAAUUUGCUUAAUAGCUUUAAAGUAGGCUAUAAUUUACUCUAGUGCUGGUGUAAAUCAGGAAAAACUCCACCAAAGUCAGCUAGGCCAGAUACUCAGUAUAAAACCACUGAGCUCCAAGUUAGGGCUGUGUGAUACCUGAGUAACUGGGAGAAGGGGUAGUUCUGCUCUUGAGCAAAGUAUCUAAGGCAGGGGUGGCCAACCUGCAGCUCUUCACAUGUUUUCCGCCACUGUUUCAGCUCUCUUCGUUAAAUAGGUUGGCCACCUCUAGUCUAAGGGGCAGGGAAUGGGACUGGAGUUUGGAAUUAAGAGUUUUGGUGCCUGAGUUGCAUAAAAGCCUAGUGCCAGCUCUCAUGACUUCCUGAAGAAAAUGGCUGUUUCCAGUUACUUUAUUUUACACAAAACUAAUGCAGGGUGUAAAAUAAAUUCAUCACCUCCAAUUUACACACAAAAUAGAUGUUGUUUUUAAAGAAGCAUUUUACAAUGGCAAAGAUCAAUGGAAAUGUAUCUAGAAUUUUUUUUAAAGCUAUUUGAAUUUUAUUUAAAAAAAAAACAAACCCCCUGCCACAAUUUGUCCUGGCUGAUAGAAGUGUAAAAUGGUAGAAUAAAAAGACUCAAGAGAAAGUUGAAAA